rnacentral:rRNA from 1 species
UACGUAGGUGGCAAGCGUUGUCCGGAAUUAUUGGGCGUAAAGAGCUCGUAGGCGGUUUGUCGCGUCUGCUGUGAAAUCCCAGGGCUUAACCCUGGGCCUGCAGUGGGUACGGGCAAACUAGAGUGCGGUAGGGGAGAUCGGAAUUCCUGGUGUAGCGGUGAAAUGCGCAGAUAUCAGGAGGAACACCGGUGGCGAAGGCGGAUCUCUGGGCCGUAACUGACGCUGAGGAGCGAAAGCAUGGGUAGCGAACAGG